GGAAUAUUGCACGAUGGGCGAAAGCCUGAUGCAGCGACGCCGCGUGCGGGAUGAGGGCCUUCGGGUUGUAAACCGCUUUCAGGAGGGACGAAGCGCAAGUGACGGUACCUCCAGAAGAAGCCCCGGCCAACUACGUGCCAGCAGCCGCGGUAAUACGUAGGGGGCAAGCGUUGUCCGGAUUUAUUGGGCGUAAAGAGCUCGUAGGCGGCUCAGCAAGUCGGCCGUGAAAGCCCGAGGCUCAACCUCGGGACGCCGGUCGAAACUGCUGUGGCUAGGGUCCGGUAGAGGAGAGUGGAAUUCCCGGUGUAGCGGUGAAAUGCGCAGAUAUCGGGAGGAACACCAGUAGCGAAGGCGGCUCUCUGGGCCGGCACCGACGCUGAGGAGCGAAAGCUAGGGGAGCAAAC
rnacentral:rRNA from 1 species